UCUACCGCACGACCUCCCCCUCCUCCUCCCGCGCCCUUCGCCGCCCCGUCGUUUCUCUCGCAGCCGGCGCGCAGCCGUUAGCCGCAGGAGCUGCUCCGCCGCGCCCUUCGCCGCCUCUCCCGCAGCCGCGCCCUUCGCUGCAGGUCGCCACGGGAGCCGCCCCGCCGCGCCCUUCGCCGCCUCCCGUAGCCGAGGACGAGGCGAGGAUCUCGGAGAGCAACGUGAUGGUGGGGAUCCAUUGCUAGGACGCAAGAGGGUGCUUGUCAGGCUGCUCGCCGAGGUCGAGGGGCUACACCUAAUCAUCACGCACGCCAAUGUCAUCCCGUUCCUGGCUUCCACUGUUAUCAUAACCUUCAUGGCAAAGGUAAGUUCGUUUAGUUAAUUUACUCUCAGUUGCACAUUCGUAUUACAGUUUACAAGCUUCUUAAAGAGGAGAUUUUGUUAUGCUGUGACAUCUCUUAUGGCUACGGCUGUGAAGUUACUGUAUUUUUUGCUUGUUUUUUUCUUUCAGUAGACUGUAUUCAGUGAUAUGGUUACAGAAGCAAAGUGUGUUUUCCUUACAUUAAACAAAUAGUUGUUGUUCAAGUGUUAAUGCAAGUUUCAUACUCACCUGUCGAGAUCGAAAACUGAACUGAAAUCUUUAUUUGUUAUGUUGUCAGGUGGAUGAGGGCUUCAAUGUCUUGGCCUGCCGUGCGUGGUCCUAGCCAGAUGGUCACCACCGCAGUCGGUAUCAUUCAUCACCGUGCUUGACGGAACUGCUCGCCACCGAGUCGGGUGCACCACAAGUACGAACACGCCGCCAUCUACUCACUCCUCCCUUGCUGUAGGUCGGCAGAUGGUGAGGAACGUCCAUCCCAUGGUGAGUUUCAUUUUCCUUUAGACGAUUUGCCUCAGUAAGUUUGGGCUUUCUACGGUGGACCACAUUCUGGUGGACUACAUUGUACUGAAGGUGGAUUUGUAUUAUCGUAGAUCCAUGACUUCCAAUUAUUCCGCUGCCACACCGAUGUACACUUUAGAUUAUGAUAAUGCAAAUCCCUCCACCCCCACCUCCUCAGUUCGGAACAUUGUUCCUAUAAUAGUGAAGAUGAAAAACAAUUGAUCUUUUUGAGUAAAGAGCAAAUUUUAUCCUUGUUGAACCGCAGGUUGCAAGUUUCAUCGUCCCACGAUUAUAAACAAACUGGUUGAGACUUGACGUCCAGGUUAUUUAGACUGACCUACUGAACCAGGAACCAAGAUUGCUGUGUUUCAACAAUUGAGAAAAUAUCACAUAUGCAAAACCAGCUACCGACCAGAUUGUUAGAUCCUGGUGGUGUAAAUAAGAACGAAAGCUUCUGAAGAGAUCAGUGCACUAUCUCUUAUGCAAUGCUACUGCAAUUGAUUACUUUCCAAUCUCUGGUAAGAUCUACAGAGCUUAGCAAUAUCUCUCUUCUCAAAUUUACCAGGGUAUAUGAUGUAGUUUCUUUUCAUCUAAUAAGGUGCAUCAGGCUCAUUGCUGAAUAGUUUCUCUCAAAUAAUUUCUUUUUCAGCACAUUUUGUAUCAACUGCUAACUUUGAAUCUUUGCUUCUUUAAUCAGAUCAUGUCUAAAUCAUUAGAUGGCAUUUCCUGUUGUAGAGGCUUUCACACACAUGCAUGCCUAGAUUGUACUUUCAUUAUAUACGUGCUUAUCUACUACCCUGUCAGCACAAGAUGUUCCCACAACUGAUGCCAUCUACAACACUCAGGUUUCUAAGUUCCUAUGAUAUUCUUUGUAGAUUUAUUCUGCUCAUAUUUAUUGGGAACACUAGGAGGCAUUGCAAUAUCAUGGUAGCAAGGACAAUUACUAGCUAGCUGAACUGAGGUAAUAUAUUUAUUGUGUUGGUGGCUAUGAGAUGAUUUUGCUGAGACUGCAAAUUGCAUGUGUUAAACCUAUUAUCGGCACUAGAUUAAGCAUAGUUGGAAGGAAUAACCAUUGUUUUAGUGCUGAAAAUGUGUCACUGACAAAAACUAUUGCCUCGGAUGCAUAGCUUAAUCAUUGUAAAUAUUUUGGUGAUGUAUUCAAAACAACAUUUUCUGCACGUCCAAUAUUGACGGGUUAAUCCCAGUCUCCCAAUGGUUUAUUUGCAAGACAUGCCGCAUUUUCAGCAAGCUUGAAUCAAACUUGCUGGUGCCAGUUCUGCCCUUAAAACAUACACGUCCCUUCUAUAUUUCACAUGCAUGGGUUUCUUUAAAAAUGUACGUGUGGUGUAAGGGAGGAGGUUCUGAGUGUGGCAUGCCCUAGUUUGUCCCCUCUUUACUAGGUUCAGGGCUAGGUAUUGUGGAAUUUGAGAUCUCGCACUAAGCCCUCAAACUCUCUAGCAAGAUUAUGUUUACAUUAUUCGUAGGUACUAAAAAGUAUUCGGUACAAAUUUUGGGUGCCUCGAUGGUGGUAUUGAAUCAAGAGAUAAAUUUUCAAAUGAGACAGGUGUGGUAACUUUUUAAUUGAAAUGUUCAUGUUACCCUGUAUGGUUUGGAAACAAGUCGACAGAGUGCAUUUUUUCAGUGUAGGAUUGUUUGGAAACGAACGGUUCUCUUUUGAAUUUUGCAGUUUUUAUGACGAAUUGUUCAAUGUUGUUAAUGUGCAAUAGAAGCAUUUUCAAGAUUGCAAGAAAUAACACUCCGGAAUUGGAAAAAAAAUGUGCUAUGCAAUUUUUAAUCAAACACGCUAUUCUAAUUCCUUUCUACAAAUAGAUAAGCAUAGAUCAUUUUCAAGUAAGAGAAUUAUAAUAGCGCAAGCUCUAGAUGGCUGCUUAUAAUUCAAAAUACUCUUCAUUGUCUUGAUAAAGUAGUUCACUUGCAGGAUGUGGGGUUAAGGUUGGAAUGGAUAAACCUGGGUGGUUACUGCCAAGCAUUUGGAGAAAAUUGAGCCAAUGGAGUGUCUUGAAAGCAUCUCCAUAUUUACAGCUGAACAGAUUUGUUGUCAUAUGAAACAGAGAGAUUGUACCACACUUUGUAAAAUGCCGAGGCACAUUACAUGUUCUUUCUUACUACUUAUUUUACCACAUAUAAAAAGGUUUCAUUAUUGCUG
rnacentral:lncRNA from 1 species